UCACCUCAUCUCAUCUUUUGAUCUGUUUCAUAUCAUCUAAAAGCUUCCUUUUGAAUCAUCAUCAUCUUCAGGUAUAAUAUCCUGGUUAGUGCUACCAAAUCAUCAGGGCUAGUUCGCAUAUAACCUUAUACAUUAUCUCAGUAGGCAGACAUUUGUUUCCAUCACUGGAUCCUAAAGCAGUUCUCUAUGGAGAAAAAAGAAGAUGAAAAAGCAAAUAAGAUAACUUUUAGGAGCAUCCCAGCAUUUAGAGGAUUAUUUAUUGAC